rnacentral:rRNA from 1 species
CCUACGGGUGGCAGCAGUGGGGAAUAUUGGACAAUGGGGGGAACCCUGAUCCAGCGACGCCGCGUGAGUGAAGAAGUAUUUCGGUAUGUAAAGCUCUAUCAGCAGGGAAGAAAAUGACGGUACCUGACUAAGAAGCCCCGGCUAACUCCGUGCCAGCAGCCGCGGUAAUACGUAGGGGGCCAGCGUGAUCCGGAUUUACUGGGUGUAAAGGGAGCGUAGACGGUGCAGCAAGUCAGAGGUGAAAGGUCGGGGCCCAACCCCGGGACUGCAUUGGAAACUGCCGAACUAGAGUGUCGGAGAGGCAAGUGGAAUUCAUGGUGUAGCGGUGAAAUGCGUAGAGAUUAGGAGGAACACCAGUGGCGAAGGCGGCUUGCUGGACGAUGACUGACGUUGAGGCUCGAAAGCGUGGGGAGCAAACAGGAUUAGAUACCCGGGUAGUC